AGGCGGGACCGAGGCUGCGCCAAGAGCCGCAGCCUGAGUUUGGCGCGUAAUUGGGGUGGCCUGUUACACGGUCUAAGGGAGUAAAUGCUAAGGCUUAGGAGUCACCUACGUAGGACUCUUGAGAGGGCAAUAAUCCCCUUUCCACCUCUCGAGACCCCUCACUGCCCAACUCUGGCCUUAUGCUGGAUCAGGGUCCGAGGGCGCUUUGAGGCGAAGGUGGCGCUCGCCAGGUGCUCAACAUCAAAUACGAAGUCCCCGCCCCUAACGUGGCCUAAAUUUGCUUCCAGGACAAAGCAGGAUUUUAGCAAGCAAAUACUCUCAGAGACCUAUUUACGAAAAUUAUUACUUCCUAGGUAAAAUAACGUUCAACCAGACAGCCAUUGUCGCCAUUCGACGGAAGGAAAAACUGAGGUUCCAGGAGCUUAAGGGUCUGGGCCCAGUUCAGGGGGGUUGUUUUCGCUCCUCGACGCUGAAUUUAGAAACCAGAGGCUACAAAGCGGGCCGAGACUUGGGUUCCCCAGGUCCUUGGUGGGGAGGUUUCCAGGAGGCUCGGGCGCGCCCCCGUCCACGGCCCCGGAAGCUGACGUCGCCGAAGCGUACGCCGCUGCCCAGCCUGCGCUCUCUUCCUGCUCUGCCUGCAGCCGCCGCGUCCGGUCCAGCCGCAGGGCCAUGCCCUGUGCUGCGGUUGCCGUGUCCCAGGCGCCGCCGCGUCAAGAUCCCCGUCUUUCCCGGCCAGCCAGGCGGCAGCGGCAUUCAGCUCGUGCACUGGGCUGGCAGCAGGCUGAGAAGAGGCGGCGCAGGUUCUCCGGGUCAGCCAGUGCCCUGCUCCUAAGGGUAGAGAUCUAGCUGGGGACACUGGUCGGUGGGCUACAGUUGUUUGGGUAUUCAUGAAUGGAGGAGCUCAGGGUCCUAGACCCUAAAACCUGCUGAAUCUUCACCCCUCCUCCGCUGGGGGUAGGGAAAUUUGCACUGCAUUUAAGCAAUGUAUAGUGGAGUGGGUGGGACAUUCAGAAGAAACCACGCCCACAUUUAACACCCGCGUCCUUCCCUUCUACCCCAGCCCAGCAUUUUGUCUUUUUCCCCUUUGUCCAGCAGUAUAACUCACGCUGCCCCUCCGGGCUGAGAGGAGUGUAGACCUCACCUGCUGAGCACAACUCUGGCGGGCCUGUGCUCUGGAGGUGGUCUCAGCACCUACCUAGACCCUCUUGAUACCUGCUUUUUUAGUUGGUGGUGUGGGAAGAAAGUGUGUUUAACAUGCUCCUUAAAUAAUGCUCUGCCGCCGAGCGCGGUGGCUCACGCCUGUAAUCUCAGCACUUUGGGAGGCCGAGGUGGGCGGAUCACGAGGUCAAGAGAUCGAGACCAUCCUGGCCAACAUGGUGAAACCCCGUCUCUACUAAAAAUACAAAAAUUAGCCGGGCGUGGUGGCGCGCACCUGUAGUCCCAGCUACUCAGGAGGCUGAGGCAAGAGAAUCGCUUGAACCCGGGAGGCGGAGGUUGCAGUGAGCCGAGAUCGCCCCACUGCACUCCAGCCUGGGGACGGAGCGAGACUCCGUCUCAAAAAAUAAUAAUAAAAUAAAAAAUAAUGCUGUGCCACUAAGCGUUUUCUCCCUGUCCUGAGGUCUUUGGCCUAUUCACAGACCAUUCUGGGCAGACUCCAGCCACAAAUCCACCACCCCACUUAAAAUUCUCUAUCCUCUCAGCACACUUAGAGGGGCAUGGAAGACUCUUGCAGGGGCUGGGGCUCCUGACAUGACAGCUCUGCUUAACUCUCUGACCUCCCUCAUGCCACUUCUCCCUCGGUCCCUGUGCUUUCACCUUACACCUGGUCUUGAAACUCCCUGCCCCAGCCCCUUGCAUGGCUGCCCGCUUCUUGUCAGUCAUGUCUACAUCUCAGAAAGGUCUUCCUCCCUCACCCAGUUGAAACCAGUUCCCCAUCAUGCAUUAUUCUGUUUCCCUUUCUUCAUGCAUUUGUUGCCAUUUGAAAGCACCUUGUUCAUUUCUUUGUCAAUGUGUUUAUUUUCGAUCUUCCUCCCCCUCAGUGUACGCCCCAAGAGAGUUGAGACAACACCUGUCUUCCAUGCACAUGGCUUCCAUGUAAAUAAAUGUUUGUUAAAUGAAAUGAGCUCAGUGUGGGCAUUUCUUUUUCUUUUUGUAAAAAAAUUUUAUUAUUAUUACACUUUAAGUUUUAGGGUACAUGUUCACAACGUGCAGGUUUGUUAUCAUUUAGCAUUAGGUAUAUCUCUCCUAAAGCUAUCCCUCCCCCCUCCCCCCACCCCACAACAGCCCCUGGUGUGUGAUGUUCCCCUUCUUGUGUCCAUGUGUUCUCAUUGUUCAAUUCCCCAGUGUGGGCAUUUCUAAAGCUGCCUGGCCCUGCUUGGCUGGGUAUCAGUCAUGCACUGAGUCCCUCUCCCACCACACUACAUCUUGAUUGAUACAGCUUCUCAAGUCCAAGUAAGGGUAACAGAAAUGGAUGCUGGGAACACAAUUUCUGCUUUGUGUUGGAGGAGACAGCUUUGGAGCAGCUUUGUAGCUUUGUGCCCCUCUACAGCUUCCUGCUUCAUUUAAGGUUCUGAAGCAGAGUUGAAAUUCCUUCCUCCAGCUCUCCAUUUCUGUGGUCAUACCAGAUGGAGGCCAAGGCAGCAUAUGGGGCUGGGUAAGAGUUCUGCGUUGAAUUCUCCAGUCUGCCACAUUCUGUGAGGCUUUGGGGCAGCUGCUCAACCUCUGUGUGCCACAGGUUCUUCUU
rnacentral:lncRNA from 1 species